UAUCUUUGCCCGCUGAUAGACACGCUAUCAUAUACAUAAAAAUCAUUUAAAACAAUAUUGGAAUG
rnacentral:ncRNA from 1 species